rnacentral:misc_RNA from 1 species
UUCUCCUGUGGGUACCACAAAGAGCACCUGAAUUCUUUAUCUCCGCAUCUUCUAUGGAAAGAUUCAACAAAAUUUCUAGCAUCAUCUGAAAAGAACAAAUUAAAAAACUCCUCUACCUCUAUCGGAAAUUUUGUUUCCCCUACUCUCAUAUAAGUUUUUGGAAUCUCAGGUGCAUCAGUUUCCUCCUCAUUCCAUGUCCGAGUUUGCAUUGAAGAUGAAGAGUUGAUAUGUUCAACUGGUUCAACAUCCUGUUCUGCAUUAUCUUGUAUCUCUGUACGUGUUACUAAAACUCUGUCAUUCUCAACUUGGGAAGGGGAUGGAAGCUUAUAGUCAUUUGAAGUAGAAGCAUCCUUAUCCCUGUUACUGGAAUCCAAUUCGUUGACUUCUUUAAAGCUAUUCAACUUUUCAAUUACAAGAAGCCCAUUAUCUUGGCUGUUAGACCCAGAUACU